rnacentral:rRNA from 1 species
AUUGAACGCUGGCGGCAGGCCUAACACAUGCAAGUCGAACGGUAACAGGAAACAGCUUGCUGUUUCGCUGACGAGUGGCGGACGGGUGAGUAGUGUCUGGGAAACUGCCUGAUGGAGGGGGAUAACUACUGGAAACGGUAGCUAAUACCGCAUAACGUCGCAAGGCCAAAGAGGGGGACCUUCGGGCCUCUUGCCAUCGGAUGUGCCCAGAUGGGAUUAGCUAGUAGGUGGGGUAACGGCUCACCUAGGCGACGAUCCCUAGCUGGUCUGAGAGGAUGACCAGCCACACUGGAACUGAGACACGGUCCAGACUCCUACGGGAGGCAGCAGUGGGGAAUAUUGCACAAUGGGCGCAAGCCUGAUGCAGCCAUGCCGCGUGUAUGAAGAAGGCCUUCGGGUUGUAAAGUACUUUCAGCGGGGAGGAAGGGAGUAAAGUUAAUACCUUUGCUCAUUGACGUUACCCGCAGAAGAAGCACCGGCUAACUCCGUGCCAGCAGCCGCGGUAAUACGGAGGGUGCAAGCGUUAAUCGGAAUUACUGGGCGUAAAGCGCACGCAGGCGGUUUGUUAAGUCAGAUGUGAAAUCCCCGGGCUCAACCUGGGAACUGCAUCUGAUACUGGCAAGCUUGAGUCUCGUAGAGGGGGGUAGAAUUCCAGGUGUAGCGGUGAAAUGCGUAGAGAUCUGGAGGAAUACCGGUGGCGAAGGCGGCCCCCUGGACGAAGACUGACGCUCAGGUGCGAAAGCGUGGGGGAGCAAACAGGAUUAGAUACCCUGGUAGUCCACGCCGUAAACGAUGUCGACUUGGAGGUUGUGCCCUUGAGGCGUGGCUUCCGGAGCUAACGCGUUAAGUCGACCGCCUGGGGAGUACGGCCGCAAGGUUAAAACUCAAAUGAAUUGACGGGGGCCCGCACAAGCGGUGGAGCAUGUGGUUUAAUUCGAUGCAACGCGAAGAACCUUACCUGGUCUUGACAUCCACGGAAGUUUUCAGAGAUGAGAAUGUGCCUUCGGGAACCGUGAGACAGGUGCUGCAUGGCUGUCGUCAGCUCGUGUUGUGAAAUGUUGGGUUAAGUCCCGCAACGAGCGCAACCCUUAUCCUUUGUUGCCAGCGGUCCGGCCGGGAACUCAAAGGAGACUGCCAGUGAUAAACUGGAGGAAGGUGGGGAUGACGUCAAGUCAUCAUGGCCCUUACGACCAGGGCUACACACGUGCUACAAUGGCGCAUACAAAGAGAAGCGACCUCGCGAGAGCAAGCGGACCUCAUAAAGUGCGUCGUAGUCCGGAUUGGAGUCUGCAACUCGACUCCAUGAAGUCGGAAUCGCUAGUAAUCGUGGAUCAGAAUGCCACGGUGAAUACGUUCCCGGGCCU